GUACACUCCUACGGGAGGCAGCAGUGGGGAAUAUUGAACAAUGGGCGCAAGCCUGAUCCAGCCAUGCCGCGUGAGUGAUGAAGGCCCUAGGGUUGUAAAGCUCUUUCACCGGUGAAGAUAAUGACGGUAACCGGAGAAGAAGCCCCGGCUAACUUCGUGCCAGCAGCCGCGGUAAUACGAAGGGGGCUAGCGUUGUUCGGAUUUACUGGGCGUAAAGCGCACGUAGGCGGACUAUUAAGUCAGGGGUGAAAUCCCGGGGCUCAACCCCGGAACUGCCUUUGAUACUGGUAGUCUUGAGUUCGAGAGAGGUGAGUGGAAUUCCGAGUGUAGAGGUGAAAUUCGUAGAUAUUCGGAGGAACACCAGUGGCGAAGGCGGCUCACUGGCUCGAUACUGACGCUGAGGUGCGAAAGCGUGGGGAGCAAACAGGAUUAGAAACCCCGGUAGUCCCA
rnacentral:rRNA from 1 species